rnacentral:rRNA from 1 species
UACGAAGGGGGCUAGCGUUGCUCGGAAUCACUGGGCUUAAAGGGCGCGUAGGCGGCCCGACAAGUCAGGGGUGAAAGCCCCCAGCUCAACUGGGGAAGUGCCUUUGAUACUGUCGGGCUCGAGGGAGGCAGGGGUGAUGGGAACUUCCGGUGGAGCGGUGAAAUGCGUUGAUAUCGGAAGGAACGCCGGUGGCGAAAGCGAAUCACUGGUCCUCUUCUGACGCUGAGGCGCGAAAGCCAGGGGAGCAAACGGG